rnacentral:rRNA from 1 species
AAAGACUGUUUGGGCCGGUUGCUUGCUAAUAAUAACAGAAGAAGACGGCCCAGCCCACCAAGUCUCUUUCUUUCUUGUUGGUCUGGUCUGAUGAAGUGAACCCUAGCUCGAUUCGAUUCCGCCGCCGCCGCCCAAGCCCGAGGAGGACGAUUCGAUUCCGCCGCCGCCGCCCAAGCCCGAGGAGGAGAGAAGGGGAGAGGAUGGCGUCCGUGGGGCCGACCCUCGAGUCCCUCGUCGACCAGGUGAUCUCCAUCAUCACCAACGACGGCCGCAACAUCGUGGGGACUCUGCGCGGGUUCGACCAGGCCACCAACAUAAUCCUCGACGAGUCCCACGAGAGGGUCUACUCCACUAAGGAGGGAGUACAGCAGCUUGUCCUUGGUCUGUACAUCAUCAGGGGUGAUAACAUAGGCGUGGUGGGUGAGGUGGACGAGGAGCUGGACGCGGCGCUGGACAUGUCGAAGCUGAGAGCGCAGCCCCUCAAGCCAGUCAUCCACUGAAGAUGAUGAAAUGUUCUAUCGAUCUGAUCCUGAUCGCGCAAGCCGGAGCUGAUGUUGCUCAGUCAAUCUGUACCGUAGGUUAAUCGAUUGAUCGCUCACUCAUAUCUCAUAUCUCAUAUCAUGGACCCUUGUAUGAUGAAAAAAAACAGGGUUUGCUGCGUCGAUGGACCGGUCAUGUUCUUGUAUGAGAGAGUGAUACAUGCAUCUCUGUGCACGUAAGUAAUGAAUGAAUGAAUGAAGUAGGCAAUUGAUGUUGGAAGCUACAUUGAUAUUAUGAUGAUCCAUUUAGUUGGCAGCAGAGAAGAGAAAUCGC